rnacentral:rRNA from 1 species
GGGCCCGCACAAGCGGUGGAGUAUGUGGUUUAAUUCGAUGCAACGCGAAGAACCUUACCUAGACUUAACAUGCUUGGGAACGUCUGUGAAAGCAGAAAGUGCCUUUCGGGGAGCCCUUGCGUAGGUGCUGCAUGGCUGUCGUCAGCUCGUGUCGUGAGAUGUCGGGUUAAGUCCCUUAACGAGCGAAACCCUUGUCCUUAGUUGCCAGCGAGUAAUGUCGGGGACUCUAAGGAGACUGCCGGUGUUAAACCGGGGGAAGGUGGGGAUGACGUCAAGUCCUCAUGGCCUUUAUGUCUAGGGCUGCACACGUCCUACAAUGCACUAUACAAAGCGACGCAAAAUCGUGAGAUCGAGCAAACCGCAUAAAGUAGUGCCCAGUUCGGAUUGCAGGCUGAAAUUCGCCUGCAUGAAGCCGGAAUCGCUAGUAAUCGCGGGUC